UGGGGAAUAUUGCGCAAUGGGCGAAAGCCUGACGCAGCGACGCCGCGUGAGGGAUGACGGCCUUCGGGUUGUAAACCUCUUUCAGCAGGGACGAAGCGAAAGUGACGGUACCUGCAGAAGAAGCGCCGGCCAACUACGUGCCAGCAGCCGCGGUAAUACGUAGGGCGCAAGCGUUGUCCGGAAUUAUUGGGCGUAAAGAGCUCGUAGGCGGUUUGUCACGUCGGCUGUGAAAACCCGAGGCUCAACCUCGGGCCUGCAGUCGAUACGGGCAGACUAGAGUGCUGUAGGGGAGACUGGAAUUCCUGGUGUAGCGGUGAAAUGCGCAGAUAUCAGGAGGAACACCGGUGGCGAAGGCGGGUCUCUGGGCAGUAACUGACGCUGAGGAGCGAAAGCGUGGGGAGCAAAC
rnacentral:rRNA from 1 species